UCCCCGGCAGCACGAUCGGACGUGCGGCGCCCUGUUAAGGCGACGGUUGAAGGUUCGAGGCCUUCCCGGGGAG
rnacentral:tRNA from 1 species